ACAGGUGGAGUCACUGUGUAGGCUGCAGCAGCAAGCAUCUGGAUGUUCCUCCACAGACCCGCAGCCUCAGUUCUCAGCUGAGUCUGUGUCCCUGCAUGAGGCCCCUCACGGAGCCUUCCACCUGGCAGCUGGGGACCCUUUCCAGGAGCCACAGACAGUGCUAUGGCUGGGCGUGCUCUCCUUAGGUUUCACCCUGGUGUUGGAUACCCAUGAGAAUCUGCUGCUAGCUGAGCGCACACUCCGGCUCUUGGCCCGCCUCCUCCUUGACCACCUCCGGCUGCUGACACCAGGUACCAACUUCUUGUUGCGGGCUGACCGUAUUGAGGGGAUCCUCACCCGCUUCCUGCCACACGGGCAGCUGCUUUUCCUCAAUGACCAGUUCGUCCAG
rnacentral:lncRNA from 1 species